rnacentral:rRNA from 1 species
UCAAAUUUGAAAUCUGGCGUGCUCAGUGCGUCCGAGUUGUAAUCUAUAGAGUCGUUUUCCGUGCCGGACUGUGUCCAAGUCCCUUGGAACAGGGUAUCAAAGAGGGUGAUAAUCCCGUACUUGACACAAUGACCGGUGCUCUGUGAUACGUCUUCUACGAGUCGAGUUGUUUGGGAAUGCAGCUCAAAAUGGGUGGUGAGUUCCAUCUAAAGCUAAAUAUUGGCGAGAGACCGAUAGCGAACAAGUACCGUGAGGGAAAGAUGAAAAGCACUUUGGAAAGAGAGUUAAACAGUACGUGAAAUUGUUAAAAGGGAAACGAUUGAAGUCAGUCGUGACUGAGAGGCUCAGCCGGUUCUGCCGGUGUAUUCCC